GAGUUUGAUCAUGGCUCAGGACGAACGCUGGCGGCGUGCCUAACACAUGCAAGUCGAACGAGGCCGGACCUUCGGGUCCAAUGGUCGAGUGGCGAACGGGUGAGUAACACGUGAGAAACCUGCCCCGGAGACCGGGACAACCAGAGGAAACUCUGGCUAAUACCGGAUGUCCUCAGAUGGUCGCAUGGCCGACUGAGGAAAGGCUCUGGCGCUCUGGGAGGGUCUCGCGGCCUAUCAGCUGGUUGGUGGGGUAACGGCCUACCAAGGCAUCGACGGGUAGCUGGUCUGAGAGGACGAUCAGCCACACUGGGACUGAGACACGGCCCAGACUCCUACGGGAGGCAGCAGUGGGGAAUAUUGCGCAAUGGGCGAAAGCCUGACGCAGCAACGCCGCGUGGGGGAUGAAGGCUUUCGGGUUGUAAACCCCUUUCAGUGAUGACGAAAAUGACGGUAAUCACAGAAGAAGCCCCGGCCAACUACGUGCCAGCAGCCGCGGUAACACGUAGGGGGCGAGCGUUGUCCGGAUUUAUUGGGCGUAAAGAGCUCGUAGGCGGUUGCGUAAGUCGGACGUGAAAACUCAGGGCUCAACCCUGAGAUGCCGUUCGAUACUGCGCUGACUAGAGUCCGGUAGGGGAGCAUGGAAUUCCUG
rnacentral:rRNA from 1 species